rnacentral:rRNA from 1 species
UACGUAGGUGGCAAGCGUUGUCCGGAUUUACUGGGCGUAAAGAGCGCGCAGGCGGUCGUUCAAGUCGCGUGUGAAAGCCCCCGGCUCAACUGGGGAGGGUCACGCGAUACUGAUCGACUCGAAGGCAGGAGAGGGUAGUGGAAUUCCCGGUGUAGUGGUGAAAUGCGUAGAUAUCUGGAGGAACACCGGUGGCGAAGGCGGCUCACUGGACCGUAUCUGACGCUGAGGUGCGAAAGCUAGGGUAGCAAACGGG